rnacentral:rRNA from 1 species
UAGGGAAUCUUCCACAAUGGACGAAAGUCUGAUGGAGCAACGCCGCGUGAGUGAAGAAGGGUUUCGGCUCGUAAAACUCUGUUGUUAAAGAAGAACAUAUCUGAGAGUAACUGUUCAGGUAUUGACGGUAUUUAACCAGAAAAGCCACGGGCUAACUACGUGCCAG